GCGGCUGUAGCUCAGUGGUAGAGCGCGACCUUGCCAAGGUCGAUGUCGGGAGUUCGAAUCUCCUCAGCCGCUCCA
rnacentral:tRNA from 2 species